GGGUGUAGCUCAGUGGUAGAAUGCUUGUCUAGCAUGCAUGAGGCACUGGGUUUGAUCCUCAACAUCACA
rnacentral:tRNA from 1 species